rnacentral:rRNA from 1 species
UGAACGCUGGCGGCAGGCCUAACACAUGCAAGUCGAGCGGUAGCUCAGAGAAGCUUGCUUCUUGGGUGACGAGCGGCGGACGGGUGAGUAACGCGUGGGAAUCUACCUGGUAGUGGGGGACAACAGUCGGAAACGACUGCUAAUACCGCAUACGCCCUUCGGGGGAAAGUGGGGGAUCUUCGGACCUCACGCUAUCAGAUGAGCCCGCGUCGGAUUAGCUUGUUGGUGAGGUAAAGGCUCACCAAGGCGAUGAUCCGUAGCUGGUCUGAGAGGAUGACCAGCCACACUGGGACUGAGACACGGCCCAGACUCCUACGGGAGGCAGCAGUGGGGAAUAUUGGACAAUGGGGGCAACCCUGAUCCAGCCAUGCCGCGUGUGUGAAGAAGGCCUUCGGGUUGUAAAGCACUUUCAGCUGUGAGGAAAGGCGAGUGGUUAAUACCCGCUUGCUGUGACGUUAACAGCAGAAGAAGGACCGGCUAACUCCGUG